UACGGAGGUGGCGAGCGUUACUCGGAAUCAUUGGGUGUAAAGGGCAAGUAGGCGGCCAGUUAAGUGAGGGGUGAAAUCUUCCGACUCAAUCGGGAAACUGCCUUUCAAACUAGCUGGCUUGAGACUGGAAGAGGGAAAUGGAAUUAGCAGUGUAAGGGUGAAAUCUGUAGAUAUUGCUAAGAACACCAGCGGCGAAGGCGAUUUCCUGGUCCAGCUCUGACGCUAAACUGCGAAAGCUAGGGGAGCGAACAGA
rnacentral:rRNA from 1 species